rnacentral:rRNA from 1 species
UACGGAGGGUGCGAGCGUUGUUCGGAAUUACUGGGCGUAAAGGGCUCGUAGGUGGCCAACUAAGUCAGACGUGAAAUCCCCAGGCUCAACUUGGGAACUGCGUCUGAUACUGGAUGGCUUGAAUUCGGGAGAGGGAUGCAGAAUUCCAGGUGUAGCGGUGAAAUGCGUAGAUAUCUGGAGGAAUACCGGUGGCGAAGGCGGCAUCCUGGACCGAGAUUGACACUGAUGAGCGAAAGCUAGGGGAGCAAACGGG